GGUAGUGCUUUCCAUAUGUUGCUCAUUAAACCCACCGCCUCCGUACCCGAUAGAGGACUACCACAAAUCUUCCACAGCUUCACAUAUACUUGCAGUGCAAAAUGUGAAAUGGUGGAAAACGACGACGUUGAAAACCGUCGCCCGCUUUCCGUCUUCUCCGAGGCAUCAAGCGGAUUGUAUUUGAAUAUGGAGCUUUCUGAUUCUUCCACUUUCAGCAUCGAUUGACUGUUUCUUAUCUGAAGUUCUUCAAAAUCGAUCUCAACAUUCUUUCAGUUUAUGGACGAUGAACUCAGUUGGAAAGAAGAAAGGAUUUUGUUAGACCUUCGGUUGUUCGAUGUGGAGUUAAUAGAUUUGGCAGAUUUGCAAGAUAUCGAUGGUGUUUGCAACGUCGGCGCACUGGUGGUUAGUGAACCAGAUUGGUCGGAUUACCAUAAUCAUUUACCAAUGAUGAAGAGGUCUAUGUCAUCAGAAAGGUCUCGGGUAACCGAUUCGCUGGUGUAGAUACAAUCAAGAACAUCCUCGACAUCAAAUUGAUUGGAUGCUCUACAAUAACAAACCUGGAAUCGGUUCACUAUCUGCUUUUUAUUCCCUCUUUCCAUAAUUUUGACUGAUCUACGACCAUUCAUGGAAUUUAUGAUUUCAAGAUAAGUAUUGGCUUACUGCACACAAUGUGUUUGACAAAGUGCGACAUUGAAGAUUUUCGUUUUUGUGUUCAUGUUUUGAUGAUACUCCUACCAACCUGGCUGAUGCGCCUUUGCUUUUUUGUUUUAGGUGAUGUAGGCCACUUAAGGACUCUGGAAGACACUGAUGUAUGAUUAACAUCUUAAAGAUACCAUGGUAAUGUAAAGGGUAGUCUUGGCUUUCCUUAUUUGAUUUCAUAUUGGCUAAUUUAAGGGAUCCAUAUGGCUAUUAGGUAAGAUUUUCUUAGGAUCAACUAUAGCAAGAAAAAGACGCAGCCAUGCAUAGGUCAUCACACUUCUCAUUCACAAAAUUUCUUAUUUCAUUAACAGGCAUGUGGGCCCUAUUUACACAAUAUUUUUUAUUUGAUUUAUUGUAUUUGUUUCAUCAUGUUUUGUUGAUUGUAACAGUUUAAUGAUUUACAAGAGUGUUAUCUGCAAAAAGCGGAGACAUUGGGAAAAACAAGUACAUACACAGGAAGAAAGGAAGGUCGAAAUGUGAAAGGAAAAGAUUAUCAUGAUGGACUUAAGGAAUUUCAGUCUAUGCUUUCUGCAUUUACAUGAUACAUAUAUUCAUAAAUUAGUGAUUACUUUUAGGUUCUUGAUUUGAAUUAUUGGUUCAAUUAUUUAAAAUAACAACUAACUGUUAACAUACAUACAGAUGGAUUUUUGUUGAAAUUUAAAUUAAGCCUUUUGCACUUAUAGGUGCAAAUUUGGAAGCAGUAAAUCCAUUGAUAUCCUGAAUCACCAAUUAACCUAUUGUCAAUUUCCAUGAUAAGCAAUAGAUGGAAGCACCAUCAAAUCCAGUCGUUUACUUUGGCAUCUUAGAGAUUGAGGAAAACCAAAGAAGAAAGCCAUAUUGUGAGGGAGAGAACACAACGCUGCCCUGCACAAAACAAGGAAGAUGUACACACACACAAGUAGUGUUUAUUAAAUAUUGUUAUUUACAUAAAACCGGUAAAUAGCAACGUACUUUCAAUUUACACAUUUUUCUUUUUUCUAUUUUUUGAAAUUUCUUUAGCAAUUUCUUUUGCAAAAACAUAACAACAUUGUCGUUAGGCGCAUUUUUGAUUUUUGAGAGUGAAAUACCAUAAAUAGCAAAUGUCACUUCAGAUUAGACAAUUAAAGCGGAUUAAAAUAUUGUAUUCUUCCUCUUUAAGUACUUUAUAUCAUUGACUUAUGGUGUUUCUACA